GAUCCUGGCUCAGGACGAACGCUGGCGGCGUGCCUAACACAUGCAAGUCGAACGGAACUUCUUUAAUUGACUUCUUCGGAACGAUUUUGAUUAAGUUUAGUGGCGGACGGGUGAGUAACGCGUGAGUAACCUGCCUCUAAGAGGGGAAUAACAUUCUGAAAAGAAUGCUAAUACCGCAUAACAUAUAUUUAUCGCAUGGUAGAUAUAUCAAAGAUUUAUCGCUUAGAGAUGGACUCGCGUCCGAUUAG
rnacentral:rRNA from 1 species